GUGUUUGUAUUAGCUUUGGGACAUGAGCUGUCUGCAAGCCGAUGAUUGCAUGCUUUUAGUGUUUGUAUUAGCUUUGGUGACAUGAGCUGUCUGCAAGCCGAUGAUUGCAUGCUUUAGUGUUUGUAUUAGCUUUGGUGACAGAGCUGUCUGCAAGCCGAUGAUUGCAUGCUUUAGUGUUUGUAUUAGCUUUGGUGACAUGAGCUGUCUGCAAGCCAUGAUUGAUGCUUUUAGUGUUUGUAUUAGCUUUGGUGACAUGAGCUGUCUGCAAGCCGAUGAUUGUAAUGCUUUUAGUGUUUGUAUUAGCUUUGGUGACAUGAGCUGUCUGCAAGCCGAUGAUUGCAUGCUUUUUAGUGUUUGUAUUAGCUUUGGUGACAUGAGCUGUCUGCAAGCCGAUGAUUGCAUGCUUUUAGUGUUUGACAUGAGCUGUCUGCAAGCCGAUGAUUGCAUGCUUUUAGUGUUUGUAUUAGCUUUGGUGACAUGAGCUGUCUGCAAGCCGAUGAUUGCAUGCUUUUAGUGUUUGACAUGAGCUGUCUGCAAGCCGAUGAUUGCUGCUUUUAGUGUUUGUAUUAGCUUUGGUGACAUGAGCUGUCUUGGAGUGUUUGUAUUAGCUUUGGUGACAUGAGCUGUCUUUGAGUGUUUGUAUUAGCUUUGGUGACAUGAGCUGUCUUUGAGUGUUUGUAUAGCUUUGGUGACAUGAGCUGUCUGAGUGUUUGUAUUAGCUUUGGUGACAUGAGCGUGUCUUUGAGUGUUUGUAUUAGCUUUGGUGACAUGAGCUGUCUUUGAGUGUUUGUAUAGCUUGGACGACUUCUGGUGUUGUAUAGCUUUGGUGACAUGAGCUGUCUUUGAGUGUUUGUAUUAGCUUUGGUGACAUGAGCUGUCUUUGAGUGUUUGUAAUUAGCAUUUGGUGACAUGAUCCUGUCUUUGAGUGUUUGUAUUAGCUUUGGUGACAUGAGCUGUCUUUGAGUGUUUGUAUUAGCUUUGGUGACAUGAGCUGUCUUUGACUACCAAACUGAAAUGAUUUACAUAGACUUUACCAAUCAUAUCUUAAAGGAACUGUCCAGUGUUUCCAGAUUUCUGACACAUUUAUUUUGAACCUUUAUGAAAAUAAGAAUUUGUUCUUAAUUAAAAUGUCAGCCUAGGAACAGUGUGUUAACUGCCUUGUUCAGGGGCAGAACAACAGAUUUUUACUUUGUCAGCUCGGGGAUUUGAUUUGGUAACCUUUCGGUUACUAGUCCAACGCUCUAACCACUAGGCUACCUGCCACCCCCAUAUAUGACCUAUAUAGUUAAUUCAUAUUGCAUAGAAAUGACUUAUAAUUAACUACCAUAUUACUUAAUUACAAUUUUUUGGAAGGAUAAUUUAAGUAUGUUAAAAUCAGCUUUUCUAUGUUGGAAUGGUGUGGGCAUACCCCAACAACAGAAUGGUGUGGGCAAGUAGAGUGCUGAUUGGCCAGAAAUGUUUGUUUGUGAUACAAGUUUGAGGUGGUGUUUUUAAGUGGGUUUUUUUUGGCCAGUGUAUGAGUUAACAGAAUAUGAACUUUUAAAUGUGAGAUUUUCACUGGACAGUUGCUUUAAUUACUUACAAGCCUUAGAUUUCAUCAUUAGCUAUGCAAGCAGAGUCUGUUAAAUUGUAUUUAAAAACAAGUGCUUUUAUCUUCUCAUUAUGAUAAUACUUAUUUGAAAAAUAAAUAAGAAUUUAAAUGGACCCAACAUACAGUAUCUUAACAGGUAAAAGUAAUUCCAUGAUGUCUGCUUAUUUCAUGAAACUUGGCCAUAAUGGACUGGAUGUCACUUGACUUGUUUACCGCUCUUUGGUGUUGUAGCUCUGUGUUGCCCUCUGAUCUAUACUGUAAUGUUUUAACGCCUUGGGGAAUGGUAGGUGACGGCAGAGAUCUGGGAAUAUCUAUGAUACACUGCCCUGGUUCUUUGGCUGAGUUUGGGUCUUCUUACAUGUCCUAGUAGCUUGGAUAUUCAUGUUUAAAUGUUUGAAGGCUUUCAGCGUUUGAGUUGCCUUCCCUUGGCCUUUACAUAAGUCAAGCAUUCACGUGUAUUUGGUUCAGUCAAAUUGUCCCCCUCGCCAUCAUUGCACAUUCAUGAUUUAACCUCACUGUACCAGUGGUUUGUCUUUGAUUCUGGAGAAGCAGAGCUGUUAUUCUGAGAGAAUUUGAUCAAUAUGCAAAAAGGUGACAAUGACAUUUGAAACACACAUCAGAGCAGUACAGUUGUGUCCAGCGUGUGGCUAGCACUCUUUUUCUCCAUAAGCACAAUUCCACCGAGACAUCCCAGAUCCUUGCAUGUCUCAUCUGGGUCUUUUAGUCUCAUGUUUUCAGCACUGUGAGUGGACAAGGUCAUUUUAAUAGUGUUUAUUUUUCACAUGAUUGUGUUGUUUAAGGGUGUGUACAUUUGUAUGGAUGUCUUCACAGAGGACAGUUUCCAGUUUGUUUCAAGUUUUAUUAGUCAUUUAUUAGUCACACGUAUACUUCGUCCACAAAAUGCUUACUUGCAUACGCACCAUUGUUCUUAGCUAGUCAAAGGUCACUCACUUGGGCUUCUGUGGUAGCCAACCAUUACCCACUUUGCAUUUUCUGCCAGUGAGCUAUUAACGUUAACUUAGUUUGAUUUCCAAUGGUGGAAAAAGUACCCAAUGGUUAUACUUGAGUAAAAGUAAUAGAAAGUUACUCAAGUAAAAGUUAGUCACCCAGUAAAAUACUACUUGAUUAAAAAUCUAAAAGUAUUUGUUUUUAAAUAUACUUAAGUAUCAAAAGUAAAUGUAAUUGCUAAAAUAUACUUAAGUAUUAAAAGUAGUGAAAAUAUAUAUAUAUUUUUUGUUGAGAUAGCCUGGGGCACACUCAGACAUUAUUUACAAAUUAUGCAUGUCUGUUUAGUGAGUCCACCAGACCAGAGGCAGUAGGGAUGACCGUGUGUUCUUUUGAUAAGUGUGUGAAUUUCACAAUUUUCCUGUCCUGCUAAGAGUUCAAAAUUAAAUAAGUACUUUUGGUUGUCAUGGAAAAUAUAUGGAAUACAAAGUACAAUACUUUCUUUAGGAAUGUAGUGAAGUAAAAGUAGUCAAAAAUAUAAAUAGUAAAGUACAGAUACGCCUAAAAACUACUUAAGUAGUACUUUAAAGUAUUUUUACUCAAGUACUUUACAUCACUGUUGAUUUCAGAUCAGAUUUUGCCAGUGCUCCAUCUGUGGUGUUUGAUUCUUGUAGCAUUCUGAUGUCAGGGUUUUGUCUUUUUUUAAGUCUUGAGAAAUGUGAAUUAUUUUUUGUGGAAAUUAAUUACUGAAUAAAAUGAAUGUGUAUGUGGUUAUCCAAGUAUUUUUAUGCCUCUUGAAUCGAUGCUUGAGGAGAGAGAACAUUUUGAAUAGAUGUCAGUUUGAAUAAAUUUUCAAGUUAUCCAUGCCCCAUAGGCUGCCCUUUCCACAUGGAGCUCAAGGAUCUAGCAACAACAAAAAACUAUGUUUCCCAUAAUCAACUAGUGCACCAAACUGGCGUGACUUGACGCUUCGUGUGUGUUGGUGACGGUGGCACUGGCAGCGCAAGCGUUGUUGGUCAGUGUGAAAUGCUGGGAGUGCCUCACAAGACAACAAAUAUUCCCGAAUAAAUCUGUUGCUUUAUAUCGGAAUAACGUUGAAGUAAACCAAGAGACUUCUGACAUUCUGAAAUCGUAGUGACUCAAGUAAUUUCGCGUGAACCUCUAAUUGUUUGCCUCGACAGCAUUGCUUUGACGGCCUGUUGCUUGCUAGCUAACGCAGGAAAUCCUCUAACGUUAGCUAGCUGGUGGACUAAUUUGAUCUGUGUGCCGAGGCGAGAAAAAAAAGGAGCUGGUACUGUUUCUUUUUUGUAGUUUUCGUAGUUAUACAACUCAAACCCGUUUAUCAAAUGGGUUCAUGAACUAUAAUGGCGGAUUUAAAACAUCGUAACAGUCUGACUUCUUCCUUAGCUAGUUAGCCUAGCUAACUACUUAUUCCACAGUGCUUGCUUACCAGCAAGCUGAAGACGUUUAUCUAGCUAGCGUUUGCUGGUUGAAGAUCUGGGAAUUUUUGGUAUGAUUUCUAAAGUCAAGUAGCUAUUUACUAAUUGGGAAGUUAAAUUGUAUGUAAACUUCGAGGAUGACACCGUUCAAUGUCAAUUGAGCGUAAUUGGCAUGUUGCUAAAUGUGUCGGCUAGCUUGCUAGUAAGUUAUCUAACGUUUGCCCAACUACUCUUAUCUAAUCAGAAACAAGGUAACUUCAGCAAAGUCCAUAGCAAGGUAGGAAAGUUGCUCCAAGUGUUUUGAACAGUGAGACCAUAAGGUUGAUUUAAACCAUUAAUUAGCAUUGAUUAUUCAAAUUAUUUCCCGGAUGAAUCUUCACUAUAGAGAGUGGAUGUUGUCUGGUUCCGCUGAUUUCGUUUGUUAUUCUUGGCACUGCUAAAAAAAUAAGAAAAAAAAGGCCAGCACGUGAGAAGUUGCGGGUCAGACAAACUUACUCAUCGGCCCUUGCU
rnacentral:lncRNA from 1 species